UACGUAGGGUCCGAGCGUUGUCCGGAAUUAUUGGGCGUAAAGGGCGCGUAGGCGGCAAAUUAAGUCAGCUGUGAAAUCUCCGAGCUUAACUCGGAACGGUCAGCUGAUACUGAUCUGCUAGAGUGCGGAAGGGGCAAUCGGAAUUCUUGGUGUAGCGGUGAAAUGCGUAGAUAUCAAGAGGAACACCUGAGGUGAAGACGGGUUGCUGGGCCGACACUGACGCUGAGUGCGCGAAAGCCAGGGGAGCAAACGGG
rnacentral:rRNA from 1 species